rnacentral:rRNA from 1 species
AUGAUUUCUCUCGACACAAGUAGAUAUAUUUUAUGCCUUCUUGUAGUGAGGUCUAUCUGUAAGAAGUUUUCCGCCUUGGUUCAUACUCAGUUUUCCACUCAUAUCCAUGUCUUUGGUGUAGAUUUUGCUUGUGUGUAUAUCCCUCAUUUGCUGCACGAAUUCCUUGUUGAGAAAAGCACACUUGCUCAGUUCUCGUCUUGUGCUCAUGGUCAGAAUGGUGUUGCUAACCGCAAGCAUAGCCACCUUCAUGAGGCGGCUAGUGCGUUGAUGAUCGUAGCCACCUAUCUCGUCAAUAAUCAUCCCUACUUUGCUCUACAUGGUGACAUUCCGAGCGUCUUUGUGGGCAUUCCCCUGACAACUCCCUUCGUCCGGAAUUGCUUGUCGCACAAAUGGAUAAAAAUGGAUGUAUCUAGAACUGAAAUAUGUCUACAUACAUCCAUUUCUCCGGCAAGUAUUUUCGGACGAAUGGAUUACUAA